CUGUAAGAUGGCUCACAGUAGUUUUCCUGCUCAUGUUCUGUGGGGUGAUAUUUUUCCCAUAUCUCUAUCAGCUUGCUUUGUGAUAGCCUGCAGUUUCUAAUGGAUCGAUACGUCCAUCCCUAGUGGGCUCGGGUGUCCUGAUACAUACUGCUUUCAGAGUUGAGAAUGUGUUUGUUGAAAGGACUAAAUUCCGCAUCUUCAUGUAUUUGCGUGGUGUCUUUAAGUCCUCUCAGGCUGCCACAUGUACAUAAAUGGGUCGUUUUUUGCUCUUUUGAUGACUGGAACCUAUGCAAGAAGCUCCAUCUCAUGAUUGCUUAA